rnacentral:rRNA from 1 species
CGUUCUCUGAAAAUAUGUAAUUAUUUUUGGAUUAUAUAGAGAAUCGGACCUGCCCAGUGACUAGUACGUUAAACGGCCGCGGUACUCUGACCGUGCAAAGGUAGCAUAAUCAUUUGCCUUUUAAUUGGAGGCUUGUAUGAAUGGUUUGACGAAAGCUAAGCUGUCUCUUUCUAAUUUUGAAAAAAUUAAUUUUCAAGUGAAGAAGCUUGUAUUUAACUGAGGGACGAGAAGACCCCGUUGAGCUUUAGUAAUCUGACAAAAUUAUAAAAUUAAAUGUAUACUUUAUGUAGUUAAGUGGCUACAUUAAUUUAUGUAAGCGAUUUUUGCCAGAAAUCUUUAGUUGGGGCGACUAAGGAACAAGUUAAGCUUCCUCUUAUAUUUUUUAAUGAAGUACGUUUUAACUUAAUUUGAUCCAGUAAUAUGCUGAUUGAAGGACAAAGUUACCACGGGGAUAACAGCGUAAUCUUUCUAGCGAGUUCUUAUCGAAGGAAGGGUUUGCGACCUCGAUGUUGGACUAAGAUAUCCUAUGGGUGCAGAAGCUUAUAAUGGUUAGUCUGUUCGACUAUUAAAAUCUU